CCAGAAGCAAUUCAACUGUCACUUUCUUCCAAACAACCUAUAGAAAUUAAUUCCCCGAAGAAUACCAAUUUUUCCUUCUUAACAAACAAAAGGCCUUGAUAAAAGUUGUUUGAUUCUUAAUGAACUACAGAAGUUAUAGCAGAUUCAGUGUAAAAUGAAUUGAUGUAUCAGGCUUGUUAAAAAAGUUAGAAAAAAGAGAUUAAAGAGAACAAUAACUGCAAAAGCAAUCUUUUAAAAUAUACGCUAUAAAUUGCUUCGAUAGUAAGGUAAACAUUUUGAAAACUGUCAUUUCCAAACAACAGCAAAAUAAGGCUAGAGCACAAAGACAGAAUCCUCAACCAACAUUAACUUAGUAAUCAGCUGCACAAUAAUAUUGCAUCGCGACAGAUGCUAAAGGAUUACAAGUUACAGAAAUUUAAUGCAGAAAAAGUUUUAAAAUUGUGUUUCAUCAACGUUGAUAAGAAACACGGAUAAAGGUGCUAACAAAAUGCAAUAAUCUUUUCGUAAAAGUUGGAUCACUCUAAUUUCACAAAUUUAAUACAGACAUCAUAUGAUACACUAAAUGUGAUCCUCAUCUUCCCUGACGAUUCCAUAUCUAGCAGACAAAGUGAUUCUUAAAGCCCCAUCGACUGAUUAAGACAUAGUUCUCACUGCACUUGAUGACAUGGUACAAACAGCUUGAAAUCAUAGGAGAUUUUUUGCCCAAUUUUGGUUCCAUUUUUGGCUAGUUUCAGUUCCAGAGGGCAAUUUCAUGGAGAUCUCUAAUGUAAUUAAUCCAUAAGACUUAUUACUGUAGCAAAGCUGCUAUCACUCGUGUACACUACUAAUCAAUCAAAAGAUUUUAAUCAAUUCCAGGAAUUCGGAGAANNNNNUGUAAAAGUUAAGAUAC
rnacentral:lncRNA from 1 species